rnacentral:rRNA from 1 species
CCUACGGGUGGCAGCAGUAGGGAAUAUUGCUCAAUGGGGGAAACCCUGAAGCAGCAACGCCGCGUGGAGGAUGAAGGUUUUCGGAUUGUAAACUCCUUUUGUUAGAGAAGAUAAUGACGGUAUCUAACGAAUAAGCACCGGCUAACUACGUGCCAGCAGCCGCGGUAAUACGGAGGGUGCAAGCGUUACCCGGAAUUACUGGGCGUAAAGAGGGCGUAGGCGGGAUAGCAAGUCAGAUGUGAAAUCCUAGGGCUUAACCAUAGGACUGCAGUUGAAACUGGUAGGCUAGAGUAUGGGAGAGGUAGGUGGAAUUCUUGGUGUAGGGGUGAAAUCCGUAGAGAUCAAGAGGAAUACUGAUUGCGAAGGCGACCUGCUAGAACAUAACUGACGCUGAGGCGCGAAAGCGUGGGGAGCAAACAGGAUUAGAUACCCUUGUAGUC